rnacentral:rRNA from 1 species
UACAGAGGGUGCAAGCGUUAAUCGGAAUUACUGGGCGUAAAGCGCGCGUAGGCGGUUCGUUAAGUUGGAUGUGAAAUCCCCGGGCUCAACCUGGGAACUGCAUUCAAAACUGUCGAGCUAGAGUAUGGUAGAGGGUGGUGGAAUUUCCUGUGUAGCGGUGAAAUGCGUAGAUAUAGGAAGGAACACCAGUGGCGAAGGCGACCACCUGGACUGAUACUGACACUGAGGUGCGAAAGCGUGGGGGGCAAACAGG